rnacentral:lncRNA from 1 species
AGUUAUCUGAAUAAAAACCAUAUUCAUCUUCACCAGCUUUGCUCCCCGAUCACUGAGAAUUCAAAUGCAGAGCAGCAAGAGAAGAAACCAAGAGGUAAAGCAGUGAGAGAGAGCAUCAAGCACCGCCACAACAAAUGCCAUCUCCUCUUCGAUCAAACUUCGAAACUUGUUUGCAGUUUAUGCAUUGCUCCUCCUUCCAAGCCCAAGAUUAAAGCGAGGUUUCGCCCUGUUGCUCUUCA